GACGAACGCUGGCGGCGUGCUUAACACAUGCAAGUCGAACGGAAAGGCCCUGCUUUUGUGGGGUGCUCGAGUGGCGAACGGGUGAGUAACACGUGAGUAACCUGCCCUUGACUUUGGGAUAACUUCAGGAAACUGGGGCUAAUACCGGAUAGGAGCUCCUGCUGCAUGGUGGGGGUUGGAAAGUUUCGGCGGCUGGGGAUGGACUCGCGGCUUAUCAGCUUGUUGGUGGGGUAGUGGCUUACCAAGGCUUUGACGGGUAGCCGGCCUGAGAGGGUGACCGGCCACAUUGGGACUGAGAUACGGCCCAGACUCCUACGGGAGGCAGCAGUGGGGAAUAUUGCACAAUGGGCGGAAGCCUGAUGCAGCAACGCCGCGUGCGGGAUGACGGCCUUCGGGUUGUAAACCGCUUUCGCCUGUGACGAAGCGUGAGUAACGGUAAUGGGUAAAGAAGCACCGGCUAACUACGUG
rnacentral:rRNA from 1 species